UACGUAGGUGACAAGCGUUGUCCGGAUUUACUGGGCGUAAAGAGCGCGCAGGCGGUCGAUCAAGUCGAGUGUGAAAGCCCCCGGCUCAACUGGGGAGGGUCAUUCGAUACUGAUCGACUCGAAGGCAGGAGAGGGUAGUGGAAUUCCCGGUGUAGUGGUGAAAUGCGUAGAUAUCGGGAGGAACACCAGUGGCGAAGGCGACUACCUGGCCUGUUUCUUGACGCUGAGGCGCGAAAGCUAGGGGAGCAAACGGGG
rnacentral:rRNA from 1 species